rnacentral:rRNA from 1 species
GAUGAACGCUAGCUACAGGCUUAACACAUGCAAGUCGAGGGGUAGCAGGGUAGCAAUACCGCUGACGACCGGCGCACGGGUGAGUAACACGUAUCCAACCUUCCCAUAACUCGGGGAUAGCCUUUCGAAAGAAAGAUUAAUACCCGAUAGUACUUUUUCAAGGCAUCUUGAAAAAGUUAAAGAUUUAUUGGUUAUGGAUGGGGAUGCGUUCCAUUAGAUAGUUGAUGAGGUAACGGCUCACCAAGUCUUCGAUGGAUAGGGGUUCUGAGAGGAAGGUCCCCCACAUUGGUACUGAGACACGGACCAAACUCCUACGGGAGGCAGCAGUGAGGAAUAUUGGUCAAUGGGCGAGAGCCUGAACCAGCCAAGUAGCGUGAAGGAUGAAGGUCCUAUGGAUUGUAAACUUCUUUUAUAGUAGAAUAAAGUGAGCCACGUGUGGUUUUUUGUAUGUAUACUAUGAAUAAGGAUCGGCUAACUCCGUGCCAGCCGCCGCGGUAA